UACGUAGGGUGCAAGCGUUGUCCGGAAUUAUUGGGCGUAAAGAGCUCGUAGGCGGUUUGUCGCGUCUGCUGUGAAAACUCGGGGCUUAACUCCGGGCCGUGCAGUGGGUACGGGCAGACUAGAGUGCGGUAGGGGAGACUGGAAUUCCUGGUGUAGCGGUGAAAUGCGCAGAUAUCAGGAAGAACACCCGUGGCGAAGGCGGCUCUCUGGGACGGUACUGACGCUGAGACGCGAAAGCGUGGGGAGCGAACAGG
rnacentral:rRNA from 1 species